AUUUGGUUUGGGACAUCUCGCUAACGAUCAUGAAACUGCUGCUUAUUAUGGUUCUGGUCACUCUGUUGACUGCAGAAUGUGUCGAUGCACAAUCUUGGUCAAGUCCCAUGUUGAUACGUGAAGUAAGAAGUAAAAAGUUGACAAGGCUGACAAGGUCAGGAUUACAUUAUCAGCCGCUGUCGGGUUUGAGCUUGGGUCCACCAGAGUUGUCGAUGAAAAGGCGAGAAGUACAAUACCAUUACAAGCAAUGAUAUGACGCGGAGAUGAUAAUGCGCUCAAUGACAGAACCUUCAUUCUAAUGUGCAGCAAUACAAAAUGAGCAAUAAAAUCUCUCUUCUGAUA